AAACUUAUGUAUAUUGCAAAUUAAUAUUUUGACAAUUUUCUUUAUUUCAUCUUGCCACAGGACAAAAUCUUAUGCUUCUGUGUCUAGCAGUGAAGUUUUAACCUCCUCAAUAUACAUCUUUGAACAAUAUAUAUUUUUCUGUCUACUAAAGACAUAAUGGCUGCUCCUUUUAUGGGAAACCAGGAUUUAAUCCAGCAAACAGAUAGAAUCAGAGACCAUCCAAUGUCCUGCUCUGUGGGAGGAACACCAGAAGGACAAGAAUCUCCUUGCUGCAGACUGUAUGACAACUACUGA
rnacentral:lncRNA from 1 species